ensembl:lincRNA
CUAGCCCCGCCCUGCUCUGCCGACCAAUCCCGAGCGUCCUCGGCUUCCGGAGGCGUUCCCGCCGGCCGAGCGGUUAGGGCCGGCCGCUCUGUUGUUCGAUGGUUGCUAGGAGACUUCCUCCGGGGCCUGUCAAUCACGUUUCCGUAAACAGAACGUGCUGCAGAGCUUGGGAGUAACGCGAGGCGUGGGAAUUGAAAGGGACUCGGAACUUCUCCAAAAACUGGUCACCUCAGCUGGCGAUGGCAGACAGGGAGAGCGAGAGGCCAGAUGGGGACCAGGAGGAACAGAACGAGCUCCUCAGCUCUGAGCUGGACGAAGAGCCCAGCAGCUCGAGCUCGGGCCCCGCGCGGCUUCCCAGAGACCACUGCGACUUCCUGCUGGACGCCAUCGACGCCCAGCUCAGCCAGAUGCAGAGUGCCAGCUUCAGGAAGCAGGGCCAUGCUGGGAACUCACCUUGUAAAAGCACUGAAGAAACAUCCAGAGCAGCGACUUUCAGCCGAAGUCAGUCUCUGAGCAAGGAUGCAGGACUGGGCAGUACCAUUCAACCUGGCGACGCCCCCCUUUCAGAUCCACACAUGGUAUGCCCCAUGUUUCAAGACCCCUCCUCAGUUGCUGGAUUUCACAACACUUCUCGGAAAACUCUGGGAUCUCAAUGCAGCCUGCACACUGUUGGGACUGAAGAAUACGUGGGCACGUUUCCGACCCUGCCUGUCAAACAUGUGGCCGGUGUUCCUGUGAAGAAUUUUGAUGAAGUGACCAUUGACAGCGACCUGGAUUCAGUGAAUACAGCUCGAGUGCGCAAACACGUUCAAAGUGCGCUCCACAACAGCAAAGGUACUCGACCGUCAAAGUCACUGGUCGUAGAGGACCUGUACACAGACCAGAGUGACCUAGAUGCCGCCAAGCCGGAGGCCAUCCAGCGCACUUUCCACAGCCUCUUCCGCAAAAAGAAGACCCUGAGUCAAGGCGGGCGGAGAGCGAGCACGAACCGUUCUAGUGCACGUCACCCUGGCAGAAGAUCACAUCAUGGCAGGAAGGAAGCUUCCAGGUAUGCCAGCUCUGAUAAGACGCCGUCAGAGGAGGAGGAAGAGGGGUGCACAGGGGUCCAUGCAGCGCUGGAAUGGAGCCCCAGCAGGGCUCUGAGGUGGGAUGAAAGCCCCCAGAGAAGAGAGACGAGGGCUAAAGGGCUCGACCUUUCCCACGAGUCCCGUCUCUGGCUGGACGAGAUGAGCUCAGACAGGCUGGUGUUGGAGGAGUCUCUGUCCAGGCUGCGCAAGGACCUUGUGAAGGAAGAGGAGCGUCUGUUGCAGAAGAGAGCCCAGCAGCUGGAGGCUGAUCAGUCGCUCUCCGCCCUGUUGCACCAGAAGAAGCAAGCUCUGCGGGAGCUGGAGUCUGUGCGGGGGGCUGUUGAGCGCGGCGAGAGAGAGGCGAGCGUCCUGGAGGCAAGGCUGAGGGACAGCAGGAGCCAGGUGGAUGAAACCAGGUCACAGCUGCUGAUGCUGGAGUACCAACGGGAGUCCUGCCUGAAGGAAGGGAGGGCUCUGGAGGAGCAGCUGAGCACGCUCAGAGGGCAGUGUUCCCCUCCGCAGAGCCGCCAGGCGGGGGCGCUGCAGGACCGGGUGGCGGCCCUCAGCGCAGAGCGGGACGAGCUGAGGGCGCGGCUGAGGCACAGCGAGGGCAGCCUGACCCUGCUGGAGCGCCAGGAGCUGGAGCGACAGCUGGGCAGCGCCAAGAGCGAGCUGUUCGCCGAGCAGCGCCGGGCCCGGGAGAGGGCGGACGCGCUGCAGGAGAAGCUGGAGGAGUGCCAGACGGAGCUGGAGCAGCGAGCGGAUGAAGCCCUGGCCCUGCAGAGCAGGUGCUCCAGGCUGGAGGAGCAGCUCCGGGAGAAGGAGGUGCAGCAGCAGGCCCUGGCCCGGGAGCGGGGGGAGCGGGCGGCGGCGCUGGAGCGGAUCCUGGCGGAGAAGGAGCUGGAGAUGCUCCGGCUGCGGGAGGCCCAGG